rnacentral:antisense_RNA from 1 species
CCUGGGCAGUGGGGAGUGGUGAGCUCCAUUGUGUACACUUGUAAGCAGCCCAGAAAGGUGAAGACCUGUUCGUGAACUCCAGAGGCCAUUGGAAGCGUGAAAGGCUAUGGCUGGCACUCUUCCUCUUUUUCCAGUUCACUGAGACAGAUGGGAGGCCCGGAGGAGAAAGAGUGAAGGAAGGCAUUUCAGCCCGAGUAAACUCCCCAGGCCCCCUCUGUGCCAGGCAGUGUUGCAAGCCUCGGGUAGGGUGCUUCUAGCACAGUGCUUUGUGCACAGUAAACACUCCAGCGGCUGUUGACCAAUGAAUGAAUGAAGAUUGUAGGCUCAAAUAUUCAAGUUAUCAAAGUGCAAAGAAUGAGAGGUUGUUUGCACUGGACUUCAAAAAUAAAUAGCCUGGACCUGUAACUGUCUUACA